CUGAUACAGAGGGACUUUGGGCAAGGGAUGGAGUGACAGGACAAUGGGGAAUGGCUUCCAACUGCCAGAGGACAGGGUAGGGAGAGAUGGGAUAUUGGGAAGGAAUU